rnacentral:rRNA from 1 species
GACGAACGCUGGCGGCGUGCUUAACACAUGCAAGUCGAACGGAAAGGCCCUGCUUUUGUGGGGUGCUCGAGUGGCGAACGGGUGAGUAACACGUGAGUAACCUGCCCUUGACUUUGGGAUAACUUCAGGAAACUGGGGCUAAUACCGGAUAGGAGCUCCUGCUGCAUGGUGGGGGUUGGAAAGUUUCGGCGGUUGGGGAUGGACUCGCGGCUUAUCAGCUUGUUGGUGGGGUAGUGGCUUACCAAGGCUUUGACGGGUAGCCGGCCUGAGAGGGUGACCGGCCACAUUGGGACUGAGGUACGGCCCAGACUCCUACGGGAGGCAGCAGUGGGGAAUAUGGCACAAUGGGCGGAAGCCUGAUGCAGAAACGCCGCGUGCGGGAUGACGGCCUUCGGGUUAAAAACCGCUUUCGCCUGUGACGAAGCGUGAGUGACGGUAAUGGGUAAAGAAGCACCGGCUAACUACGUG